GACGAACGCUGGCGGCGUGCUUAACACAUGCAAGUCGAACGGAAAGGCCCUGCUUUUGUGGGGUGCUCGAGUGGCGAACGGGUGAGUAACACGUGAGUAACCUGCCCUUGACUUUGGGAUAACUUCAGGAAACUGGGGCUAAUACCGGAUAGGAGCUCCUGCUGCAUGGUGGGGGUUGGAAAGUUUCGGCGGUUGGGGAUGGACUCGCGGCUUAUCAGCUUGUUGGUGGGGUAGUGGCUUACCAAGGCUUUGACGGGUAGCCGGCCUGAGAGGGUGACCGACCACAUUGGGACUGAGAUACGGCCCAGACUCCUUCGGGAGGCAGCAGUGGGGAAUAUUGCACAAUGGGCGGAAGCCUGAUGCAGCAACGCCGCGUGCGGGAUGACGGCCUUCGGGUUGUAAACCGCUUUCGCCUGUGACGAAGCGUGAGUGACGGUAAUGGGUAAAGAAGCACCGGCUAACUACGU
rnacentral:rRNA from 1 species